AUUGAACGCUGGCGGCAGGCCUAACACAUGCAAGUCGAGCGGAUGAAGGGAGCUUGCUCCUGGAUUCAGCGGCGGACGGGUGAGUAAUGCCUAGGAAUCUGCCUGGUAGUGGGGGAUAACGUCCGGAAACGGGCGCUAAUACCGCAUACGUCCUGAGGGAGAAAGUGGGGGAUCUUCGGACCUCACGCUAUCAGAUGAGCCUAGGUCGGAUUAGCUAGUUGGUGGGGUAAAGGCCUACCAAGGCGACGAUCCGUAACUGGUCUGAGAGGAUGAUCAGUCACACUGGAACUGGGACACGUUCCAGACUCCUACGGGAGGCAGCAGUGGGGAAUAUUGGACAAUGGGCGGAUGCCUGAUCCAGCCAUGCCGCGUGUGUGAAGAAGGUCUUCGGAUUGUAAAGCACUUUAAGUUGGGAGGAAGGGCAGUAAGUUAAUACCUUGCUGUUUUGACGUUACCAACAGAAUAAGCACCGGCUAACUUCGUG
rnacentral:rRNA from 1 species